AACAUUUUUAUCAGAGAUAGUUCUUUUUCCUUUAAAAAAAAAAAUAGAGAUUGCAAAACUUUGCAAAACUGAUUUCUAAUAUGUCCCUGCUAGCUUCUUUAUUCUUGCUUUUGGCGCUCCUGACUGCAAACACUUGGGGAGAUGCAACGAUCUCAUUCGCCCAGCCUGUCUCCGUCUCGGCAUCCCUGGGGAAAGCCGUUCAGAUCUCUUGCACCCUUUCCAGUGGCACCAUGGCAACCCACACCGUAAGCUGGCUUCAGCACCAACUGCCAAACCCUCCCAAAUACCUUCUGUAUUAUAAAGAUGAAUCCAAUCAAAGAAGGAAAACCGGAGUCUCAGAUAGAUUUGCGGCUUCCAAAGAUGCCAGCCUUAACUCCUGCUAUCUAACCAUCUCUGAGGUCCAAGCAGCAGAUGAAGCCACCUAUUAUUGCCUAUCAUCCACAGGUUCAGAAUACCACUGUGCUACACAUUAUGGAGAAAUGAACACAAAAGCCCUACCCCUCGGGGAAUUCAUUCACGACAGCUGGUAAGAGAGGGCCACCUGG